rnacentral:rRNA from 1 species
GUAGUCCACGCCCUAAACGAUGAAUGUUAGUCGUCGGGUAGCUAGUCUAUUCGGUGAUGCAGCUAACGCAUUAAACAUUCCGCCUGGGGAGUACGGUCGCAAGAUUAAAACUCAAAGGAAUAGACGGGGACCCGCACAAGUGGUGGAGCAUGUGGUUUAAUUCGAAGAUACGCGAAGAACCUUACCUGGCCUUGACAUUGAUAGAACACUUUAGAGAUAGAGUGGUGCCCUUCGGGGAGCUUGAAAACAGGUGCUGCACGGCUGUCGUCAGCUCGUGUCGUGAGAUGUUGGGUUAAGUCCCGCAACGAGCGCAACCCUCGUCACUAGUUACUAACGGUUCGGCCGAGGACUCUAGUGAGACUGCCUUCGCAAGGAGGAGGAAGGUGAGGACGACGUCAAGUCAUCAUUGCCCUUACGGCCAGGGCGACACACGUGCUACAAUGGGUAGGACAAUGAGUCGCAAUACCGCGAGGUGGAGCAAAUCUAUAAACCUACUCUCAGUUCGGAUUGUACUCUGCAACUCGAGUGCAUGAAGCUGGAAUCACUAGUAAUCGUAGAUCAGCCAUGCUACGGUGAAUACGUUCCCGGGUCUUGUACUCACCGCCCGUCACACCAUGGGAGUUGAUUUCACCCGAAGCGGGGAAGCUAAACUGGCUACC